CUUGCUAGAGUCGCCGUUGCCCAGGUCUCCGCACGCUCGGCGGCAAGCAAAACCCGCUCCCGCCACUGCCUAGUUCACCACCUGAACCGACUACAGGUCAGCAGGUCACGAAGGACGUUCUCGAAGUCACGACCACCGCCUCUACACCGUAGGCGUUUGGGACCCACGCGCUGAGUACGGCAGCAGAGCGUGUGUAGGCGGCUCAGGUCGGCGGCGUCACGGCGCAGCCUAAGGACGUGCCGUAAGUCAAGACCCCCGCACAUGGACGGCAGCCGCGCUCUGACGCUGUUAUGCGGCUGGUUCUCCAGGAGCACGCGGUCUACUCUCUAGACAUCAUCAACUAGCACACGGCGGCGAACUUCGACGUUAAUCUCCUAAGCGACUAUCCCCCUGACUCCACCAGCAGUUGGGCCACGAACCGUGGUAAAAACUAAGCGACCGUCUCCGCAUGCUUAAGAUGUUAGAGAUAAGGACCCAACUGUUUAUGUUCGAAGUGUUGUUGUGAAAGGAGUAUGUUUAAAAGCUCCAAGCAGUGUUCACCCGCUUCGGAAUAAAAUCACCGUUCAAUACACGCUUCGUUUGGUCAUGCGUUUCUUCGCUCUCACGUUUGGUAAACAACUUUCCGAUGUAGGGCGGACGUACGGGGUACUUGGAAAAACACUUCGUUAUAUCGUUUAACGUCAAGCUGACUUCGACUUCUUCCUAAGGUUCUCUUCUCUUGCUCCGACCCGCCCCAUCAAGAGGCUAUGUUAAUGGGAAACCUCCUCGUACAUUCAUUUCAGAUAUGGGCCUGUUACAUGCUCUACAAACCGGUCCGAAACAUAGCGAGACCAUCCAUACUACAACUCCUUCAACUCGCCCCGUAGUGGAUGGUGCACGCUGUACAACUUCGACUCUUCGCUCUCUUCACCACGGCACUUUACGUACACCAGUCACAGGUACUACCGACACGAUCCAUGUGUACGCUUACACCCGAGAAGCUCGUGUACCCCUACGAAACAACGGUACGAUAGUUCCAAAAUUAAGUAAACCCUCACUCUUUUUAUGGGUCUAAGGUACAGUACUUUUCCACCUGUCAUCUACGGGCGCUGUUAAGCGGUGAAGUGGAAGAGGUAAUGGUUUUCCUAGUUCCCGGAGGCGCCAAUAGAACGAUGUCCGUAUGUCGUGAUGUGGACUGGCACGAGCUCAAACAGGUCGAACCACUAUCGUUACAGUUACGGAAACUAUCUCGUUACCUGUAGAACUAACGUCCGUUCCGUCUCGACUGACAAAACCGCCGCCAGUUCCUACCGUUUUCAAACCACCUGGUUUGAGUUUAACCCCUUAGUCGGUUAGGGUGAGUCUCCUACCCGUGUUCAAGAAGCGUGGGUCUGCUGUACACAAGAGUCUACAAGUAGAGGUGGCUCACACCCGAAUCAAGUCAAAGACCACUUCGACCGAGGUCACACAGUGACAGCUGCAACGACGGCAGACUAUCCUUCUUCGUCUUCCCAUCCGGUUGGUGUCGCUCCCUGUUUGGACCUAUACUCCAGUUCCUGCGCGCUAGCUCCAAAACAUGCCAAACAUCCCUCUUUCCCGUGGGGCGUCCCCACUAGAAGGCUUCUUUGGAGCGUUUUAGGGAUGGACGCCGUUAACGCCACAUCGACCGUGUUUUUUUGGUCAACAAAGUUGGGCCAGAACGGCAAACACUUCACCGGAGCGCUGCCCGGUCAUCUCACUACAAGCCAAGUCGCGAACUUCGUCCAUGAGGGAGGCAAGCCUUAAUGAACAGCGCUUUUACCUACAUAGAUCUUGAUUUUAUGCAGAUCUAUGUAGGUAAAGACGCUGUUCAUUAAGGUUUGCCUCCCUCAUCAACUUAGGUUUUUAGGUUAGGUCUCAUCAAGCUAAAGGACGUAAAUACGAAUUAAACCCU
rnacentral:rRNA from 1 species